rnacentral:lncRNA from 1 species
GAGGGAGGCUCUGACCACAGCACACAGCACCGGCAACUUUGUCUAAUGUGAUCAUUAACCUUCCUGCAAAACACAGCUGGCAGUUCUCUGAGGUUUGUCAUUAGAAUGUGAAGACAGCCACACAGAUAUUGCACAGACUAUUUACGGAUCAUUUGGUUUACAUUGAGAGUCAUUGCUCCACUUUUGUACGGUAGGAAAAUGAGAUUUCAGCAAUUCCUUUUUGCAUUUUUUAUUUUUAUUAUGAGUCUUCUCCUCAUCAGCGGACAGAGACCAGUUAAUUUGACCAUGAGAAGAAAACUGCGCAAACACAAUUGCCUUCAGAGGAGAUGUAUGCCUCUCCAUUCACGAGUACCCUUCCCCUGAGAUCUCUCUAGCUAACUUUACUGGAUCUAUCAGAAGAAGAAGAGGAGUGAAGGAAAGACACCCAGCCACACAAAAGAACUUCAUGAUGCCAACAGCGUGAUUGCCUAGAAGUUCCUACACAAAAAAAGGAUCAUUUGAAAGCACCUGGAAUGGUUUAUUAGCUUCAAAGGAUUUUAUUCUUCUUGGCUUCUAUUUGGAGGGAAAAUAACAUAAAUUCAAAAGGAUUCCAAUCUGAAGCCCAAAUUGUUUGCCUACAUAACAAAAAUAUCUCAUCUUUUCCUGCACAUUAUUAUUCUCUUAUGGGUUAAAAAGAAAAAUACCUUUUAGUGUCUUAGAACUCUCUCAUGGUAAAAAGUGCAAGAAUUUAAAAUGUUGCUUUCAUAUUCUCAUAAUUCUCCAAAAGUAUUAAAUUUGUAUGUGUUUGAGUGAUUUUCUAAAAACUGCUCAACCUGAAAUCAAUUGCAUUGACCAUUUGGCUUCGCACAAUAGGGAGAAAAUAAUUGGUUCAUUGAUUAUAUAGAGAGAAAGACUAAGAAAAGCUAUUAAUUGCUACCAAUUUUAUGAUAAGCUUUAAGGUUUAUGAAAGUAUGAUUUUUUAAUUUAAUGAGUAAUGUCCAUUUGAAGUUGAAAGAAAACAUAAAAUCCUAAUUGUAGUUCAUUUUAUGUUCAAAUGAAACCAUUGUUUUUGUUUUUGUUUUGAAACAGAGUCUUGCUCUGUUGCCCAGGCUAGAGUGAAGUGGCACACUUUUGUCUCACUGCAACCUCCACCUCCCGAGUUCAAGUGAUUCUCGUGCCUCAACCUCCCAAUUAUAGGCUGGGAUUACAGGUGUGCACCACUACACCCAGCUAAUUUUUGUAUUUUUUGUAGAGAUGGGGUUUUACCCUGUUUCCCAGGCUGGUCUUGAACUCAGGCUGGAACCAUUCAUUUUUUAACCUUUCUCAUCAUGUAAUUAUAAGAACCCAGUGUUUGAUUUCCUUUGAAGUUUUGUUAUGUCCUUUAUUAUUUUGUAUAGAUAAUUUCUUAAAAAGUCUUACUUAAAGUCGACAUCUAAAAUACAGUUAUGCCAGUGAAGUCCCACUCAGAGUGAUAUCUGUAUCUAAAAGAUGAGUGCUCAUCAUCCUAUUAGGCUUUGUCUUGGUGUUGUUCAUCCUGAGAUGCUGAGACAUGGAAAUAAAAAAUCAGAAGGAAUUUAGGGAUAUGAUUACUCAAAAAAGAAACUAUCCUGUCUAAAUUUGAAUUGUAUUGAUAACUAGGUGUUCCCCAGAUGCUAAGAUGUUCUUAAUUUGUAUUUAUUGAAGGAUCGUUAGCUUAGUGCCACAAAAUUUUUCAUACUUUAUGUUAAUUCCAGAUAAGAAAUUUACAAGUUUAUAUCUUUUUUUUUUUUUAAGAUGAGAUCUGGCUCUAUCACCCUGGCUAAAGUGCAGUGGCAUGAUCUAUGCUCAACCUCCACCUCCCUGGCUCAAGCGAUCCUUCCACUUCAGCCUCCCGAGUACCUGGGACUACAGGCACUCACGGCCACACCUGACUAAUUUGUGUAUUUUUUGUAGAGAUGGGGUAUCGCCAUGUUGCCCAGGUUGGUCUCAAACUCAGGCUGGUGAGCUCAAGUGAUCCGCCUCCUUGGCCUCCCAAAAUACUGGGAUUACAGGCAUGUGCCACCAUGCUGGGCCACAGGUUCAUAUCUGGAGUAGAAGUUUUACUUUGUAAAUAUUGUAAAGUAGAAGAAACCAUAAACCAUUAACCUUUAUUUUGCUAAAAUGAAAGGUUGGGGUUAAUAUAAAUGUAAUUUUAAAUAGAAAAUCUGACAACACUGUGGAGUUUGUCUUCCUUUCAAAGCUUAUUAAAAGUGUCUUUGCGGAUGAAUGGUACUUUCCACAAGUGCAUUUGAGUAGAAACACAACCUAUUCUCAGUUAUAUUUAUGUUUUAAAACAUGUACUUGUUUGUAUAUUUUGUACUGAAAAAAGAAAACACUUUAUAGUCAAGAUACAUCUCGUUCAAUACAAGUCUAAACUAAUUCAAGUACAAAUUCGCAUAUUCACAGAAAAAGUUACAAAUGAGUUUUACCAUUGUAAAGUAAUGAAAUGGUUAUACAUUUCUUAAUUGUUCAAUAAAACACUCAAUGAUUU